rnacentral:rRNA from 1 species
GAUGAACGCUGGCGGCGUGCCUAAUACAUGCAAGUCGAGCGAACGGACGAGAAGCUUGCUUUUCUGAUGUUAGCGGCGGACGGGUGAGUAACACGUGGAUAACCUACCUAUAAGACUGGGAUAACUUCGGGAAACCGGAGCUAAUACCGGAUAAUAUUUUGAACCGCAUGGUUCAAAAGUGAAAGACGGUCUUGCUGUCACUUAUAGAUGGAUCCGCGCUGCAUUAGCUAGUUGGUAAGGUAACGGCUUACCAAGGCAACGAUGCAUAGCCGACCUGAGAGGAUGAUCGGCCACCCUGGAACUGUGACCCGGCACAGACUCCUACGGGAGGCAGCAGUAGGGCAUCGGCCGGAAUGGGCGAAAGCCUGACCGAGCAACGCCGCGGGAGUGAUGAAGGUCGUCGGAUCGUAAAACUCUGUUAUCAGGGAAGAACACAUGUGCAAGUAACUGUGCACGUCUUGACGGUACCCAACCAGAAAGCCACGGCCAACUUCGUG